rnacentral:misc_RNA from 1 species
AAAGUAAGUCAUUUUUCACUUUCACAAACACAUCAAAAAGAACAAACCUAGACAAGAACAAUCAAGACGCAUACUCAUCAUUAGUCUACUAAGCACCGCCGAUCAUCCAUGGUUGCACACAGCCAAUAACUAGUGACAACCACAAUUUAUUAUUUUUCUCAUAUUAUACUAUAAGUAGAAAAAUAUGAAGUUGCAGGUUGUCACAGACAAAGGAAGAAGCUGAAACAGAGGAGAAUGGAGUAAAAAAAAA